rnacentral:rRNA from 1 species
UACGGAGGGUGCGAGCGUUAUUCGGAAUUACUGGGCGUAAAGCGCGUGUAGGCGGGGAUGCAAGUCUGAUGUGAAAGCCCUGGGCUUAACCUGGGAAGUGCAUUGGAAACUGCAUUUCUUGAGUACUGGAGAGGAAGGGGGAAUUCCCGGUGUAGAGGUGAAAUUCGUAGAGAUCGGGAGGAAUACCAGUGGCGAAGGCGACCACCUGGACUGAUACUGACACUGAGGUGCGAAAGCGUGGGGAGCAAACAGG